ensembl:snRNA U6 U6 spliceosomal RNA
GUGCUUGCUUUGGCAGCACAUAUACUAAAAUUGGAACAAUACAGAGAUUAUCAUGGCCCCUGUGCAAGGAUGACAUGCAAAUUCAUGAAGCGUUCUAUAUUUUU